UUGUUAUCAUGCAUUCGUUUCUUACAUUUGUUACUAAACUUAUUGUUGGGCCUUCACACUAAAACAACCAUUAAUUAGAUUUUUAGAAAUUGGCAGAUGGGCUUUUAAUAUAAGAUUUGGGCUUCAGAGGAUCAGUUUAGUGGGCGCUUAACGAAUCUCAGAAUUACAAUCUUCAUUUUUCACUUAGGCAAGAAUGCUGCUAGGUUUUCGCCGUUAUUGGGGUCAACAUUCAGGCGAAGCACUGAUUUGAUGAUGUCGGUUUCGAUUGGACCUUCUUACCUACUUCAGAAAACUUGCGACGUUUCAGAUCCCUUCUGCAUUUCAAUCAUUGUCAUUAAUGUCUCAAUUAACUCCAUCAAUCCAACUUUUUCACGAUAUAACAUUCACUUCAUCUCCCCCUUUCUUUGAGUCGGUUAAUCUGGAAUUAUAAAUAGAGAGUACAAUGGCGAACUCCUCUAUCCUUCUUGCUGACUUGAAAGCAACACCACCAUCGAAGUGUGGCUGCUGAGGUUCUGGAAUGCCAUAAAUGUGAAGAGAGACAGCGAGCUUAUGAGGCUCGACAUGAUGCUCCUCGACGAUAAGUUGACGGCGAUGCAAGCUCUGGCUGGGUUGUUGGGGACAAUCAUUCUGGCAAAGCUCUGACUUUUCAUCAAACCAUAAAUCAUUCACCCUAGCCUUGAUAUUAGAUCAGAACCAACGCCAAUCUACUUUUGAUGGUCAGGUAAGUAAUGAUAACUCGGGCAACGAUAUACCAGUUUCUGGAGCUGUUAAAAAAACUUACACCGCUGAUGGUGUAAAGUUUAAACAGUUGUGUCGCUCUGAACAUCGUUGGCAUCGGUACUAAUUUGCUUCUUGAAGGCCACCAAUGAGAGGGUACUGAACCACAAGAACUCCCUGGUAUACUUGAGAUGCCCUCAGAGGAAGCGUCAGAGGUGGAAUUAGAACGCUCUUCCAAAAACCAUGUAAUGGUUAAUCUUCAAGAGUAUAGGAGUUUUAAACACUGUCAUGGACUUUAGCUGAUGCUCUACUACCACUUUUUUUUAAAAAAAAAUAUCCUCUAGACAAAUAAUAGUAUUCUACCUCUUUCGGUCAUGCUAAUUAUUGCUUCUGAUUCUUUUUCCUUCUCGAUUUGUACACAGGGAGGCAACUACAUUUGCUCUUCUUAAAAAUGUCAAUGGAUCUCUGAUUUUCUACACAUAAAUAUCGGAUCCUUCAAUGCUUAUGAGUGCUUUUAAAAAAAAACAUUUAGUACACAGCAAGGCAACUACGUUUGCUCUUUUUAAAAAUGUCCAUGGGAUUUCUGAUUUUCUACACAUAUAGUAUAUCGGAUCCUUCAAUGCUUAUAAGUGCUUUUAUCCUUCA